rnacentral:tRNA from 2 species
GCGCCCAUAGCUCAGCUGGAUAGAGCGUUAGCCUCCGGAGCUAAAGGUCAGAGGUUCGAAUCCUCUUGGGCGCACCA